CAAGACCUCCAGCACCUCUGCCUGGAUGUUCUGGUAAGUCCAUUUCUCUUGCUCCCUCUGUAUAAACACAUACUAUUGCUUCUUCCAUCCCUCAACCCACACCUAUCUAUAGAAACUCAGAAACCCCUCCCUCAACCACCAGAACAUCUCAUCAACCAUCCCAAAUAUUUAACCUUGCCACCACAACCUUACCUAUUUCUGACGCAGAAAUGCUGAACGAAACCACUUCACCAUCAUCAUCCUCUUCUCCAUAAUCACCCCCUUACUACAACAUUUCCUCAGACGCAGAACACUUUGACCCCUCAUCUCCCACUCUAGCCCAAAUCCAAACUCAAACUUUG
rnacentral:lncRNA from 1 species